UCCAUGAUAGCUCAGUUGGUGGGGCAUGAGACUCUUAAUCUCAGGGUCGUGGGUUUGAGCCCCACGUCAGGCAAAAGAAU